rnacentral:rRNA from 1 species
GAUGAACGCUGGCGGCGUGCCUAAUACAUGCAAGUCGAGCGAACGGACGAGAAGCUUGCUUCUCUGAUGUUAGCGGCGGACGGGUGAGUAACACGUGGAUAACCUACCUAUAAGACUGGGAUAACUUCGGGAAACCGGAGCUAAUACCGGAUAAUAUUUUGCACCGCAUGGUUCAAAAGUGAAAGACGGUCUUGCUGUCACUUAUAGAUGGAUCCGCGCUGCAUUAGCUAGUUGGUAAGGUAACGGCUUACCAAGGCAACGAUGCAUAGCCGACCUGAGAGAGGGAUCGGCCACACUGGAGCUGAGACACGGUCCAGACUCCUACGGGAGGCAGCAGUAGGGAAUCUUCCGCAAUGGGCGAAAGCCUGACGGAGCAACGCCGCGUGAGUGAUGAAGGUCUUCGGAUCGUAAAACUCUGUUAUUAGGGAAGAACAGAUGUGUAAGUAACUGUGCACAUCUUUACGGUACCUAAUCAGAAAGCCACGGCUAACUACGUG